rnacentral:rRNA from 1 species
GGGGAAUAUUGGACAAUGGGCGCAAGCCUGAUCCAGCCAUGCCGCGUGAGUGAUGAAGGCCUUAGGGUUGUAAAGCUCUUUCGCCGGUGAAGAUAAUGACGGUAACCGGAGAAGAAGCCCCGGCUAACUUCGUGCCAGCAGCCGCGGUAAUACGAAGGGGGCUAGCGUUGUUCGGAAUCACUGGGCGUAAAGCGCACGUAGGCGGAUUGCUAAGUCAGGGGUGAAAGCCCGAGGCUCAACCUCGGAACUGCCUUUGAUACUGGCAAUCUAGAGUUCGGGAGAGGUGAGUGGAACUCCGAGUGUAGAGGUGAAAUUCGUAGAUAUUCGGAAGAACACCAGUGGCGAAGGCGGCUCACUGGCCCGAUACUGACGCUGAGGUGCGAAAGCGUGGGGAGCAAACAGGA